rnacentral:rRNA from 1 species
UGGCGGCAGGCCUAACACAUGCAAGUCGAGCGGUAACAGAUCCAGCUUGCUGGAUGCUGACGAGCGGCGGACGGGUGAGUAAUGCAUAGGAAUCUACCCGAUAGUGGGGGAUAACCUGGGGAAACCCAGGCUAAUACCGCAUACGUCCUACGGGAGAAAGGGGGCUCCGGCUCCCGCUAUGGGAUGAGCCUAUGUCGGAUUAGCUAGUUGGUGAGGUAAUGGCUCACCAAGGCCACGAUCCGUAGCUGGUCUGAGAGGAUGAUCAGCCACAUCGGGACUGAGACACGGCCCGAACUCCUACGGGAGGCAGCAGUGGGGAAUAUUGGACAAUGGGCGAAAGCCUGAUCCAGCCAUGCCGCGUGUGUGAAGAAGGCCCUCGGGUUGUAAAGCACUUUACAGCGAGGAAGAACGCCUAGCGGUUAAUACCCGCUAGGAAAGACAUCACUCGCAGAAGAAGCACCGGCUAACUCCGUGCCAGCAGCCGCGGUAAUACGGAGGGUGCAAGCGUUAAUCGGAAUUACUGGGGGUAAAGCGCGCGUAGGUGG